ACCACCUAAGAAUCUGUCUCUUAAUUUUUAACUAAAAAUGUAAGAACCGAUUCUUAAAUAAGAGUUUUAAGAGCCGGUUCUUAACUUUUUUUAGUUAAAAGUUAAGAGACGAAUUCUUAUAUUCU
rnacentral:pre_miRNA from 1 species